GAACUAAUGCGCGUGGCUCAACAUUCUAGUCGGGUCCUUUAGUGGGUUGCGCCACUGAAACCGGAAGUUAGUUUUGUAAAUAUACGAUGAAAAAGACGAACGACAAUUACCACGAGGAGUAGUAUUGUAUUAUUACAAGUUCUGCACCAAAAAGACUAAUGAAGCAGACACAGAUGGAGCCAGAUGAUGGUGUUGAAAGAGUUGAAGAGAACCAGAGGACUUGGAAGACACUCUGGCUCUCAGAGAUCCUGAGAGUGAGAAACAAAUAGAUUGUGAGACACAGACAGAGAAUAUAUGUGCAUCCACAAGCGCUGGACCAUCAGACAUCAGCACAUAUAAAGAAGACCCACCAAUGCGGCAGGACCUAAAGACGUUUCCAAGGACCUUGAUGGGGAACAGGAGAAGGAACUUCAAGGCAGACUGGUACCACACUCUUGUUACACUCCAUAAAGUGUUUGGAGAAACAAAACUUCUCUCUGACUUGCUACAGUCUUUAACACUUGACAUUUCAAAAGCUGUAGAUUUAAUUGAGGUUUUACAGACAUGGAAUGAUUUUUGGCAGGAGUCAUUUUUUGAUGAUGUGGGAUGAAGUGCUGAAUGUUUUUGGGCGGUGUGAUCCAACACCACCAGCUGCAAAAUGACCAAAAAAUUCUAAGUUCUAAACUCGGCAAGCACUGUGUGCCGACCACUGUUGGGUAGAAAGCGUCAGAACGGGAUAAAGACUGGUUUUGUACAAACUUUUUCUACUAAGCCAUUGAUUUAAUACUCAUUGACUUUGAAAGAUGAUUUUCUAGGAGAAACUGUGACAUAAUGAAUAGCAUCCAGGCGCUAAAUCCCCCCCAAAAAAGAUGCAUUCCUGAAAGAGACAGCUCUGUUUUCAUUUGCUUGAUUGUAUGAUUCAAACAUUGACGGCCUGGGGCAUGAACGACAUCAGUUCAGAAGGAUGUUAGACAGGAAAAUACAGAC